GAUGAACGCUAGCUACAGGCUUAACACAUGCAAGUCGAGGGACCGGCGCACGGGUGAGUAACCCGUAUCCAACCUGCCCUUUACUCGGGGAUAGCCUUUCGAAAGAAAGAUUAAUACCCGAUAUAAAGGAUGGGGAUGCGUUCGAUUAGGUUGUUGGUGAGGUAACGGCGCACCAAGCCUUCGAUGGAUAGGGGUGCUGAGAGGAAGGUCCCCCACGUGGGAACUGAGAAACGGUCCAAACGCGUACGGGAGGCAGCAGUUAGGAAUAGUGGUCAAUGGGCGCGAGCCUGAACCAGCCAAGUAGCGUGAAGGAUGAAGGCUUAUGGGUCGUAAACUUCUUUUAUAUAAGAAUAUGUAUUAUAUGAAUAAGGAUCGGCUAACUCCGUGCCAGCAGCCGCGGUAAUUC
rnacentral:rRNA from 1 species